rnacentral:rRNA from 1 species
UAUUUUCCUUGUGUGCCAGCAGCCGCGGUAAAACGUAGGUCACAAGCGUUGUCCGGAAUUACUGGGUGUAAAGGGAGCGCAGGCGGGAAGAUAAGUUGGAAGUGAAAUCCAUGGGCUCAACCCAUGAACUGCUUUCAAAACUGUUUUUCUUGAGUAGUGCAGAGGUAGGCGGAAUUCCCGGUGUAGCGGUGGAAUGCGUAGAUAUCGGGAGGAACACCAGUGGCGAAGGCGGCCUACUGGGCACCAACUGACGCUGAGGCUCGAAAGUGUGGGUAGCAAACAGG